AUCAGAUAUUGUCACCCACUCUUAUUGGACCCUAUAUCAUGACACCAAAAAUCACAACCCAAAUCUAAUUAGGCGUGGAGAAAUUAGCAUAGGUUUAGGAGUGGCGCAAGAGAUAAGGAUAGAGUCCAAGUUGACAAGGACUCUUCAUUUUCAAUUCUGAUUCUAAUCCAAAUCAAAUUUAAAUUGAAUCCACUGAUAGAAAGAAACUUAAUCCAAUUAGAAACCUAGAUAUCUCAUCAAAUUUCUAACCCAAUUAGGAAUUAGCCGAGUCCAAACACUGAUUGAAUCAAGAUCAAAUUUUUUUUGUAAUCAGGAUUAAUCAUAUCAAACCCAAUC
rnacentral:lncRNA from 1 species